GACGGACGCUGGCGGCGUGCUUAACACAUGCAAGUCGAGCGGUAAGGCUCCUUCGGGAGUACUCGAGCGGCGAACGGGUGAGUAACACGUGAGUAAUCUGCCCUUCACUUCGGGAUAACCACCGGAAACGGUGGCUAAUACCGAAUACGACCAGUCUUCGCAUGAGGUGCUGGUGGAAAGUCUUUUCGGUGAAGGAUGUGCUCGCGGCCUAUCAGCUUGUUGGUGGGGUAAUGGCCUACCAAGGCUUCGACGGGUAGCCGGCCUGAGAGGGUGACCGGCCACACUGGGACUGGGACACGGCCCAGACUCCUACGGGAGGCAGCAGUGGGGAAUAUUGGACAAUGGGCGAAAGCCUGAUCCAGCAACGCCGCGUGAGGGAUGACGGCCUUCGGGUUGUAAACCUCUUUCAGUACCGACGAAGCGCCCUGUCGGGUGGUGACGGUAGGUACAGAAGAAGGACCGGCCAACUACGUG
rnacentral:rRNA from 1 species